rnacentral:rRNA from 1 species
UGCAAGUCGAACGGCAGCGCGGGGAGCUUGCUCCCUGGCGGCGAGUGGCGGACGGGUGAGUAAUGCGUAGGAAUCUACCUUGUAGUGGGGGAUAACCUGGGGAAACUCGGGCUAAUACCGCAUAAUCUCUUUGGAGCAAAGCGGGGGAUCUUCGGACCUCGUGCUAUAAGAUGAGCCUACGUCGGAUUAGCUUGUUGGUGGGGUAAUGGCCUACCAAGGCGACGAUCCGUAGCUGGUCUGAGAGGACGAUCAGCCACACUGGGACUGAGACACGGCCCAGACUCCUACGGGAGGCAGCAGUGGG